rnacentral:snRNA from 1 species
AUCACUUCUUGGCCUUUUGGCUAAGAUCAAGUGUAGUGUAAAAAAGCUAAUGCAAAUAUUAUUUUUUUACCAUGCUAAUGCAAAUACUAAAAAUACACAGAACCUUAU